rnacentral:rRNA from 1 species
CCUACGGGUGGCAGCAGUGAGGAAUAUUGGUCAAUGGACGAGAGUCUGAACCAGCCAAGCAGCGUGAAGGAUGACUGCCCUAUGGGUUGUAAACUUCUUUUAUAUGGGAAUAAAACGUUCCACGUGUGGGAUUUUGUAUGUACCAUAUGAAUACGGAUCGGCUAACUCCGUGCCAGCAGCCGCGGUAAUACGGAGGAUCCGAGCGUUAUCCGGAUUUAUUGGGUUUAAAGGGAGCGUAGGUGGAUUGUUAAGUCAGUUGUGAAAGUUUGCGGCUCAACCGUAAAAUUGCAGUUGAAACUGGCAGUCUUGAGUACAGUAGAGGUGGGCGGAAUUCGUGGUGUAGCGGUGAAAUGCUUAGAUAUCACGAAGAACUCCGAUUGCGAAGGCAGUUCACUGGACUGCAACUGACACUGAGGCUCGAAAGUGUGGGUAUCAAACAGGAUUAGAUACCCUUGUAGUC